rnacentral:rRNA from 1 species
CCUACGGGGGGCAGCAGUGGGGCAUAUUGCACAAUGGGGGGAACCCUGAUGCAGCGACGCCGCGUGAGUGAAGAAGUAUUUCGGUAUGUAAAGCUCUAUCAGCAGGGACGAAAAUGACGGUACCUGACUAAGAAGCCCCGGCUAACUACGUUCCAGCAGCCGCGGUAAUCCGUAGGGGGCAAGCGUUAUCCGGAUUUACUGGGUGUAAAGGGGGCGCAGACGGCUGUGCAAGUCUGGAGUGAAAGGCGGGGGCCCAACCCCCGGACUGCUCUGGAAACUGUAAAGCUGGAGUGCAGGAGAGGUAAGCGGAAUUCCUAGUGUAGCGGUGAAAUGCGUAGAUAUUAGGAGGAACACCAGUGGCGAAGGCGGCUUACUGGACUGCAACUGACGUUGAGGCUCGAAAGCGUGGGGAGCAAACAGGAUUAGAUACCCUUGUAGUG